rnacentral:rRNA from 1 species
UACGUAGGGUGCAAGCGUUAAUCGGAAUUACUGGGCGUAAAGCGUGCGCAGGCGGUUUUGCAAGACAGAUGUGAAAUCCCCGGGCUUAACCUGGGAACUGCAUUUGUGACUGCAAGGCUAGAGUGUGUCAGAGGGAGGUGGAAUUCCGCGUGUAGCAGUGAAAUGCGUAGAGAUGCGGAGGAACACCGAUGGCGAAGGCAGCCUCCUGGGAUAACACUGACGCUGAGGCGCGAAAGCCAGGGGAGCGAACGGG